UGGGGAAUAUUGGACAAUGGGCGCAAGCCUGAUCCAGCCAUGCCGCGUGAGUGAUGAAGGCCCUAGGGUUUUAAAGCUCUUUCACCGGUGAAGAUAAUGACGGUAACCGGAGAAGAAGCCCCGGCUAACUUCGUGCCAGCAGCCGCGGUAAUACGAAGGGGGCUAGCGUUGUUCGGAUUUACUGGGCGUAAAGCGCACGUAGGCGGACUAUUAAGUCAGGGGUGAAAUCCCGGGGCUCAACCCCGGAACUGCCUUUGAUACUGGUAGUCUUGAGUUCGAGAGAGGUGAGUGGAAUUCCGAGUGUAGAGGUGAAAUUCGUAGAUAUUCGGAGGAACACCAGUGGCGAAGGCGGCUCACUGGCUCGAUACUGACGCUGAGGUGCGAAAGCGUGGGGAGCAAACAGG
rnacentral:rRNA from 1 species